GUCUUCGUGGUGCAGUGGUUAGCCCACUCGGCGCGUAUUCGAGAGGUCCGUGGUUCGAUUCCUGGCGAGGGCA
rnacentral:tRNA from 1 species